UACGGGGGGGCGAGCGUUGUUCGGAAUUACUGGGCGUAAAGGGUUUGUAGGUGGCCUGCUAAGUCAGACGUGAAAUCCCUCAGCUUAACUGGGGAACUGCGUCUGAUACUGGCGGGCUUGAGGACAGGAGAGGAACGCGGAAUUCCAGGUGUAGCGGUGAAAUGCGUAGAUAUCUGGAGGAACACCGGUGGCGAAGGCGGCGUUCUGGACUGUUUCUGACACUGAAAAACGAAAGCCAGGGGAGCAAACGGG
rnacentral:rRNA from 1 species